GAUGAACGCUGGCGGCAUGCCUAACACAUGCAAGUCGAACGGAGCUAUUAGACGGAAGCCUUCGGGCGGAAGAUUAAUAGCUUAGUGGCGGACGGGUGAGUAACGCGUGAGUAACCUGCCUCUCAGAGGGGGAUAACGUUCUGAAAAGAACGCUAAUACCGCAUAUAAUCAAGAAACCGCAUGAUUUUUUGAUGAAAGGAGCAAUCCGCUGAGAGAUGGACUCGCGUCUGAUUAGCUAGAUGGUGGGGUAACGGCCUACCAUGGCGACGAUCAGUAGCCGGACUGAGAGGUUGAACGGCCACAUUGGGACUGAGACGCGGCCCAGACUCCUACGGGAGGCAGCAGUGGGGGAUAUUGUGCAAUGGGGGAAACCCUGACGCAGCAAUGCCGCGUGAAGGAAGAAGGUUUUCGGAUUGUAAACUUCUUUUGUUAAGGACGAAGAAUGACGGUACUAAC
rnacentral:rRNA from 1 species